ensembl:ncRNA F11A6.6 ncRNA
AGUGGCCUAGAAACCCAAAACUAGGCCAUCAACAUUUUGAAAUCCAAAAACU